UGUAGGCGGCGGCAGGAUCUAUAAGGGACAGAAGGGAGAACCCGGGGAUGUCCCACUUGUGACUGGUAUCAGAGGCCGCCCCGGACCUAUGGUGAGCAACUUCAUAGCUU